GAUGAACGCUAGCGAUAGGCUUAACACAUGCAAGUCGAGGGGCAGCAUGAUCUUAGCUUGCUAAGGUUGAUGGCGACCGGCGCACGGGUGCGUAACGCGUAUGCAACUUGCCUUACAGAGGGGGAUAACCCGUUGAAAGACGGACUAAAACCGCAUACACUUGUAUUAUUGCAUGAUAUUACAAGGAAAUAUUUAUAGCUGUAAGAUAGGCAUGCGUCCCAUUAGCUGGUUGGUGAGGUAACGGCUCACCAAGGCGACGAUGGGUAGGGGAACUGAGAGGUUUAUCCCCCACACUGGUACUGAGACACGGACCAGACUCCUACGGGAGGCAGCAGUGAGGAAUAUUGGUCAAUGGGCGAGAGCCUGAACCAGCCAAGUCGCGUGAAGGAAGACAGUCCUAAGGAUUGUAAACUUCUUUUAUACGGGAAUAACGGGCGAUACGAGUACUGCAUUGAAUGUACCGUAAGAAUAAGCAUCGGGCUAAGUCGUAACAAGG
rnacentral:rRNA from 1 species